UCCAUGGAGGAUUAAGAAAAUACAAACAAAAUGGGAAAUAAAGGAGGCUUUCUAUGUUAUACCUCCAGCAACACAUACGUCAUUUCACUUCCUACGAAGGGGUAUUGACCAAUAAAAAUAGUGUAUCGCUUUUUCCCCGCUUGCAAGAAAACUUGACAUAAAUUUAGUAUUAUGAAAGACAUUCAGUCUUUGGUUGUCAAAUACAAUGCGGGGGAUUCUAUUCUCUUUGUUUUGCUUUAUUUAUCUCUAGAAGAUGCUACUUGUCCUUCAUUAAGAGUUAUUCACUUGUGCUAACAACCUUUAGCUCUCGAUCAGCAAUAUCUAGCAAGACCUGACAAUAUAAAAACAAAAUAGUCUUAAUACCUUUUGUCAAGUUACUGGACAAUGGAUCAACAGGUGCAAUGACCGAAAAUAAUAAUAACAUAAGCCACAACUGAAGUAUGGGAAGGAUAGUGCGUACGCAAAUUUAGUCCUAUCUUAUGAAAGUAAAGAGGUCAUUUUCAAUAGGACCCUCCACUCGAGUAAGCAUAUCAAAAAUAAAAUAUAUGAUCUAUAAGUAUUUAAUUUUUACUUAAAUUUAUUAUAUUGUAUGGUCAAAAGAGUCAAAAAAAAAAAAAAAAAAAAAAAAGUGUCAAGAUAGAAUAACAUGUAGAAACAAGUAACAUUGCCAUGCAACUUCAUAAAAAAAUUAGAGAAAUUAAUAUAUACCUGUGUUUCAAUUGUUUAGUAGACUCACUUUAUGUUUUUAUCUCUAAAACCUGCGAAGAAGAAGCUAGUCCGUAAACUAUUUGCAGCCUACAACAGUACUUUCAAUAGAAUAGUACUCCUGAACCUAAGUGAAUUCUAAAUAGAAGAUGUUUAAGCAGAAUUAUGGUAAAGUAGAAGAUGUUUCCAUCAUCGUUUAUAAGAAUAAUCACGAUUAUGGUAAAGAAGAAGACGUUUCUUUCAUUAAAGAGUAUAUUUUUAUAUUUCAACACAUUGACAAAAUUAGAAUAACUGCUAUAAAUUAACAAACCUGUAAUUAAUAAAUAAUAAGAUACAAAACAAAUGAAACAACAUAUCGCAAUACAAUUCAAAGAAUAAGAAAUAGUGAUCCAAAUAUAAAAAGAACUACCUGGUAAUAAAGUUUUUCCAAGAAACGCCUUUGCACACUGAACUUCUGCUUGGUAAUUGGUGAGUGCUAAAUUUAGCCUGCAAAUUUAUUUCUAUAAGACAAUCUGAAUAACGAUUCAAGAAUAUAUAGGAAGCUGGCAUAUACAUGUUAGAGACAUACUACUAACCCAGAAUUUUAGGCAGUAUUAUGAGAUUACAUGCACGAUAGUAGUUUCUUCCAGCACUGUAUUGAAAUUUUUGAAACUCUUUGGAAGAAGUUAAAGAAUCGAACAACAACAAUGCAUAAUCAUCAUAUACUUUUUGGCUGCUUCAUGAAACUUCAGUGUAUGAAAAUAAGUAAACCCU
rnacentral:lncRNA from 1 species